AUUGAACGCCGGCGGCAUGCCUUACACAUGCAAGUCGAACGGUAACAGGUCUUCGGAUGCUGACGAGUGGCGAACGGGUGAGUAAUACAUCGGAACGUGCCCGAUCGUGGGGGAUAACGAGGCGAAAGCUUUGCUAAUACCGCAUACGAUCUACGGAUGAAAGCGGGGGAUCUUCGGACCUCGCGCGGACGGAGCGGCCGAUGGCAGAUUAGGUAGUUGGUGGGAUAAAAGCUUACCAAGCCGACGAUCUGUAGCUGGUCUGAGAGGAUGAUCAGCCACACUGGGACUGAGACACGGCCCAGACUCCUACGGGAGGCAGCAGUGGGGAAUUUUGGACAAUGGGCGAAAGCCUGAUCCAGCCAUGCCGCGUGCAGGAUGAAGGCCUUCGGGUUGUAAACUGCUUUUGUACGGAACGAAAAGCCUCUUUCUAAUAAAGAGGGGUCAUGACGGUACCGUAAGAAUAAGCACCGGCUAACUACGUG
rnacentral:rRNA from 1 species